AUGCGAGAAGCGCCGACCUCGCGGGAGGCGUGCAUUUAUCAGACCAAAAAACCGGCCGCUCUUCGGGCGCGUUCGCCUUGGUGACUCUGGAUAACUUUGCGGAUCGCACGGUCUAGCACCGGCGACGGAUCAUUCAAGUGUCUGCCCUAUCAACUUUCGUCGGUACGGUAUUUGCCUACCGAGGUUCUUACGGGUGACGGGGAAUCAGGGUUCGAUUCCGGAGAGGGAGCCUGAGAAACGGCUACCACAUCCAAGGAAGGCAGCAGGCGCGCAAAUUACCCAUUCCCGACGCGGGGAGGUAGUGACGAAAAAUAACAAUGCAGGACUCGUUCGAGGCCCUGUAAUUGGAAUGAGUACACUUUAAAAGCUUUAACGAGUAUCCAUUGGAGGGCAAGUCUGGUGCCAGCAGCCGCGGUAAUUCCAGCUCCAAAAGUAUAUAUUUAAGUUGUUGCGGUUAAAAAGCUCGUAGUUGGAUUUUGGGCGCAGGCGGCCGGUCCGUCGCAAGGCGUGUACUGGACGUCCUGGCCUUCCCUCCGGUUCUCCGCCGGUGCUCUUGACUGAGUGUCGGCGGCGGCCGGAACGUUUACUUUGAAAAAAUUAGAGUGUUCAAAGCAGGCUCUCGAGCCUGGAUAAUGGUGCAUGGAAUAUUGGAAUAGGACCUCGGUUCUAUUUUGUUGGUUUUCGGAGCGCGAGGUAAUGAUUAAGAGGGACAGACGGGGGCAUUCGUACUGUGCCGUUAGAGGUGAAAUUCUUGGAUCGGCGCAAGACGAACGACUGCGAAAGCAUUUGCCAAGAAUGUUUUCUUUAAUCAAGAGCGAAAGUCAGAGGUUCGAAGACGAUCAGAUACCGUCCUAGUUCUGACUAUAAACGAUGCCAA
rnacentral:ncRNA from 1 species